GUAUCGGCAGGCGCGAAAGCGUCGGCGACCUCGGGAGGCUUGCACAGGUGCUGUAUGGCUGUCGUCAGCUCGUGUCGUGAGAUGUUCGGUUAAGUCCGCUAACGAGCGCAACCCUCACUGUGUGUUAUAUGUGUCACACGGGACCGCCGGUCUUAAGCCGGAGGAAGGUGGGGAUGACGUCAAGUCAGCAUGGCCUUUAUAUCCUGGGCUACACACACGCUACAAUGGCCAACACAAUAGGUUGCUAAGCCGCGAGGUGGAGCCAAUCCAUAAAGUUGGUCUCAGUUCAGAUUGUAGGCUGCAACCCGCCUGCAUGAAGAUGGAGUUGCUAGUAACCGCAGGUCAGCUAUACUGCGGUGAAUACGUUCCCGGGGCCUU
rnacentral:rRNA from 1 species